UUUAGCUUUGUUACAUCCUAG
rnacentral:misc_RNA from 1 species